GAGAGAGAGGUAUAUAUAAAGAGAGGUAGAGAGAGAGUGUGAGAAUAGAGAGAGUGAGAGAGAGAAGUUAUUUCUCAUUAAGCGACCAACCAGGUUCAGCUUAGCACACUGUCUGAACACACACACACAGAGCGACAGCUUAGCACACUCUGUCUGAACACACACACAGAGCGACAGCUUAGCACACUCUGUCUGAACACACACACAGCGACACACACACAAAUAAAAAGCAGAAGUGGUGAGAGGCACAGGGUUUGGAGCAACGUGGUUGGCUAUGGCUCACGGCUCUGACAGCGAUGACUCCAAUUACACCAAGUCUCCUUCGCCAGCGGGCAGCAGGCGGGGCUCCUCAGACAACAUAAAGAAAGUAAUGAGAAGAGAGAAGAACCGUAUCGCUGCCCAGAAGAGCAGGAUGAGACAGACCCAGAAGGCAGACAGUCUACACCUGGAGAGUGAGAACCUGGAGAAGGAGAACGCGGCUCUGAGGAAGGAGGUGAAGAAACUCAAAGAAGAAGCCAACUAUCUCUCCUCUGUCCUGACUACCCAUGAGCCUCUCUGCACUGGCCUGCCCCCCCAGAUGACCCCGGACCUCAUCUACUCCCCCCAUCAUCACUCCGUCUCCCCCCACCAUCACGGGAGCAAUGUCUUCCACCACCAGCACAGCAUGGCUGUGUCGCACUUCCAGCACUGAUCACCACCGACCACCAGGUGGUGCUGAAGAGAAGCGGGAGAGGUUUACUGACUCAGUCUGGUUUCAAGAGGCUACACUUGAGCAGGAUGAAGUUAAUGAAUGGUUUCUUUGUUUCAACGGGAACAGACAGCACUCAUGAAUGAUGUCUUUGCAUCAGAUCAACAAUUUUCUGAUAUUAAAAGAUUUACAAAGGCUUCUUUUACACAGGCAGCCAAAUUCUGAUCUUUUGCCCAAUUAUUGUAAAAAUGUCUGAUUGGUCAAAAAAAUAAUUAAUGACAAAAGAUCAGAAUUGUGUAAAGGCACAUAGAUGGUAAUUUCCAAUGUAUGACUCGACCAUAGAAUCAAUACCAUGACUAUGUAGUCAACAUCUACAGGACAUAAAACCAGCAUGAUUGAAUUAUUUUUUUAUUGUACUAUUGACAUUUAUACAACAAUGAAAUGAUUCCGUGUUUACGUUUCAAGUCAUUUAUAUAUAUGCUUAUUACAAUGCUUUGCCUCUAGGACUGGGACGAUACUAGUAUCACGAUACCUGUUAGUAUUGUGGCAAGGGAACAAAACACAAAGCAGAUUUAACUUCUUUAGUAAAACAGUCUUAAUGUUGGAAACGAACAUCACUAUGUUAUCAUCCAGAGUCACAUGUCGUUAUUUUCCAGGCUAUAUCACAACAUGUGUUCCAUAAAGCAGGUUUAGUACCAGGCUAUAUCACAACAUGUUUAGUACCAGGCUAUAUCACAACAUGUGUUCCAUAAAGCAGGUUUAGGACCAGGCUAUAUCACAACAUGUGUUCCAUAAAGCAGGUUUAGGACCAGGCUAUAUCACAACAUGUGUUCCAUACAGCAGGUUUAGUACCAGGCUAUAUCACAACAUGUGUUCCAUACAGCAGGUUUAGUACCAGGCUAUAUCACAACAUGUUUAGUACCAGGCUAUAUCACAACAUGUGUUCCAUAAAGCAGGUUUAGGACCAGGCUAUAUCACAACAUGUGUUCCAUAAAGCAGGUUUAGGACCAGGCUAUAUCACAACAUGUGUUCCAUAAAGCAGGUUUAGGACCAGGCUAUAUCACAACAUGUGUUCCAUAAAGCAGGUUUAGGACCAGGCUAUAUCACAACAUGUGUUCCAUAAAGCAGGUUUAGGACCAGGCUAUAUCACAACAUGUGUUCCAUAAAGCAGGUUUAGGACCAGGCUAUAUCACAACAUGUGUUCCAUACAGCAGAUUUUCAAAGGACCAAAGAAUCUGAUCUGGUUCGUGUUUUCCUUUUUUGCCAUAGAAGUAAAUAUCCCAAUACUGGUAUCAUCCCAGCCUUUAGUUUUAUUAGUGUACAUUUCUCGUGUUCACGACUACCACUAUUGCAUAUGACUGAUUGGAGCAUUGACAAAUAGCUUGGAUUACUCAAUGAUGUGUACAUUAUUUAACUAUUUUCUCACAAAACAGCUGCUUUUCUAGUCCGAUUUGAAUACAUGUACAUUCUGCCUAAAGUGAAACAGUUUGAAAAUAACUUUGUUAACUCAAGAGUCUACGUUCGAAUUAUCUUGAAUUCGUUUAAAAAAAAAUACUAUUUUUUUAAUGGUCACAAGGUGGAGUCGUGUACCUAUAUGUAAUUAAGGGUAAGCCUUGUUAAGGGACCGUAUGCAUUGUAUGCUCUGAUAUAAGUGAUUAUCUUAUAGACUGGUACUGAGACAGGACAUAAUAAAGGUGAAAUAAAUAAAUAAAUAAAAUAAAUACAGGUUUAGUUUACCAUCAGUGCUUGUACUUUUUAAAUGAAUAUCUUUGAAUGUUGUAUUGAUUUUUUUAUAUUUUUUAAAUGCUGUCUUACUGUACAUUUAAAAAUAAAGAUAGAAACUUAGAAAUUGUUUUGAAAUGCAAGAUAGUGAAUUUUUGGGUGGAAGCAAUGUUUUUUCCGACCCUGAGCAAACAUCAGGUCUGGUUGAGGACAAACAUGAACAUUGUGAACCUUCUGUGCAACUUCCAGCGUGCCUUUACUGUGAACACUGAGGCUGUGCCUGCUUUAAGUUACAGUUUUAACAGUUGCCAAGUAGGC